rnacentral:lncRNA from 1 species
CCAGAUGUCAUUUAUCUAGCAAACAUGACUCUGUAGAACAGUAGUUGCCAACUUUAUUUAUUAAUGUAGUAGCGGAACCCUUUUUGCAAAUGGCAUCCUAUGCAGAAGCCCAUUAUAUAAAACAUCUCAGAGCUUCUCUGGUUGAAGCAAAAAUGGAGGGCUUGGAGCCUUCCUAGAUUAAACCCCACCUUGGCCACCACUUUCUACACCACAGUAGCCCCUUGAAUCUGCUCACCCAGCCUGAAGGUCUUGUGAGCACAUCUGAAAAGCACAGAUUAAGAACCAGAAAGCAAGCUAAACACAGUGAUCAGAUUAGCCAUAGCAGGUGAUCCAGUGUCCAAACAGUAAAGCCCAUCCGUUUUCUUCAUGGAGGAGCCUCUGAGAUUCUCAUUCGGAACUCUGGGCUCUUACGUUAGCCACAAUUCUAACAAGCUUUGCAAUCUGGUUUCUCAGUCACGGAAGAAUAGAAGAACAACUCAGAGGAGGAAGAAGUCAGACAUAGCCAGACACGGCUGCUAGCAGUUCCACCAAUGAAAGAGGAGACCAGGAUGUUUAAAACAGGCAAACACAAGGUGCGAAAAACCAGAAGCGAAAACUUCUGAGGUCAUUUAAGCAGGGACUAUCGUUAUCCCCGGAAGCAGAGAGAAGUUCAAUCCUUUGCCCAACAUCACACUGCAAGCAUGUGUUGGAGCUGAGAUUCAAACCCAGGCAUCCAGGGUCCAGGGCCCAUGCUCUUAAUAUAUUCCAUAUCUUAGGAGAAUUUCCCCUAUUUAAGCAAUAAAAGUGCAAAAAUCUUGUGG